AGCAGAAAGAGAAGGUCCUUCCAUAGGACCUUCCACAGGACCGUCUCUUGCUCACCUCUUGGUGAGCAAGAGAAGGUCCUAUGAUGAUGAGAGCCACCUUUAGCAACAGCAAAAGAAAAGGAAGCCUUAUGUGAGGGCCUGCUGAAACAUAGUGACUGUUAGCUAAUGACACCUGCCAUCAAGAAGUCAAUGAAAAAGUCUGCUGGAUCUGGAAGCAUGGGAUUGACAAAAGCAGCACUGAAGCAGCUGGUGGGGUUGUUGCUUGGCCUAGGGGCUGGAGGAGUCGUCGCGGUGGUGUGGCUAGUUGGAAGAAAGAAUAACUAGUGGGAUGGUAACCCAACAAAGUAAAAAGUCAUAGCAAUAGGACCAUGCUGAUGGUGACUGAACAAGUUCAACUCCGUGUUGGAACACUGCCAGCUUCUUAAUGAGCCCUAACUAGGAAGUGGUAUGUCAGGGCCUGUUGUGGGUGUGAGAGGCAACAGUGGCUUAAAGUAUUAUCUCUGCUUGCUCUUCACUGCUAUAGGUUAUUGUCCUGGCAGCAUGGUGUAGUGCUCCAUCAACUCAGCUGUGUUACCAUUUGUGAGAGUAUGCGGUGAACAAGGGAUUCACUUGUUUAAUAAGGAAGUCACUUUCUCCCGCCUCUGACAAUUUUUGAGCCGAGUCUCAGUGUGGAUCUUAAGAUUCAUCAAAAUGAAGGGGGAGCUAUUGUAUGAUGUGAAACAGAAUCCCUCCAGGCCUGUAUUGAUGCAGAAACACCUCUUCCUCCUUUUUACACUUCCAUUUAAACUGUAAAAUGGCUUGUACCUUCUUCCUGUCCAGUCGCUGUAAUGUGCGGUCGUCUUCCAGUGUGCUGGGGUAGCUGCUUUACUGAGGUCUGCUGUAUUUUUACCCUGCAGUGCCGGAGGGGAGCUCUGGAGGAAGCAAUUUCUCUCCUGUGUUUUAACCUCUGCUAUACUUGGUCCAGUCCUUGUACAGCAAACGGUUUCUUGUGGUGGACUAUCUUCUGGUGCUCCUCGGAGGAAGGGGGAAGAUUUGAUCUUAACGGAGUGUCUGGAAUAAAGGACUUCUGAGGGCUGCCCGAAUUUGUUAAAUCUAGUGUAUUACAAUCAGAGCAUCUAGAAAAGCCUACUUCAUAUCAUAAUUUGUAUUUGUUUCACUUUGUAAGUCCCAGCAUAUUCCAUGAAAAUGUUUCCAAAGCCUUUGAGUUUUUGUCUCUGAGCUCUAGUGGUCCUAGGACAUGAACUAGUGCCUAAAGCACUACCGGAGAGGAAACUCUUCACUCCAUUUUAAGUGAAGCAUCCACCUCUAACUAUAGUUCUUCCUGGGGUAAAAAAGGCUCUAUAUUUUAAUUAGGUACGGUCCGUGUACCUUAUUUGAAAUAAUAAGAUAUUUUUUAAGCAUUUUCAAAUGAAAAUUUUCCUUAAUGAUGAAGGACAGCCAUGUAAACUAAAGCUAGACUCUCUAUGUGUGUGUGUGUGACUAUUUGUUAAAGGAAAAGCAUGUUUUCAGAGUGUGGUUUUUGGACUUCCAGACAGAUUACACAAGCUCAAGAAGGCCCACCCCACAUCCUGUGUAGAAAACCAGCUCACAGAAAUGCCCAUUGUUCUUCAGGAUUAUAAAUCACUGUAUUUUCUGCCUGCCUUUUUUUUCAAAGUACUAUAUGGAAAAUACUAAUGCAAAGUAACCACAGCAGCUUAACAAGUGCUUGGUCCUGCCAGGUACUGAUUGCUUUGCUCUUACUGAAAUGGGGGGUGAGGGGGUAGAGGGGAUUAAAACAUUAGGCUCCCUGGCUAGAGAACAAAGGUAUUAUGUUGGUAAAAAUAGCUGAGAGUGUUUUAUUAGUUAUGUGAAUCAAUUGAUAAUUGACAUACUUUAAGUCUGAAAGCUGUUUCUGGAGCCAUAUUGCAGCCAUGCCAGUAUUUACUGUCUUCAGGGGGGGGAAAAAGUUACACGGUAUGCGGUUUGCUUCAAGCAUGGUGAAUUUUCCUUGACAUUGCAUCACCCCUACUCAGCUACUACCCCAUUCCCUUUUUUUUUUCCGUGUCUGGAUCUAAUGCUCCACAUAAGAGGUAGGUGGUUAGUUUUUCUGAAUCUCUACCCAUGCUUAUUGCUGAGUUGUGUGCUAUUCCAUCUGCAAGUUAACAGACUGAUCCGUGAAGAGAGCUAUGAAGCCAAAAAUGGUAAAACUUGUUCACUCUUCCUUUCUUUUUUUUUUUUUUUUAAAUCUGUUUCACCUACGUUAUCAUCUUGGAGCUUGUUUUUUAAAAAGCUGAGGUGCUGUUUUUCAUGUUCCAUUUUCAAACAGGAAAAGUGUGUUUCAAAGUGAAUUUUGAAGCCCUCGUAUUACAGUUUUCUUACUUUAAAAAAGCAACAAAUUGUAUUUCUUACUAGAGUUCAGUACCUAUUUAAGACCAAACCGUUUGUUAUGAUAAUACAAUGUAGCUAAGCACAAGGCAGCCAUGACGCUGUUUGAGGCUGUAUCCUGCUUUUCUGCAGUCCUCUGGAAGGAAUCACCUCCCUUUAGUUGCUGCCAGUCUCCUGACUGUGCAGCAUUCCCAAAACAUGUGGCCCAUAAAACGGGAAGGCAUUCAAGUAAACAGAAGUUCCCUCAGGACAAGAUUUGCGUUUUCAUGUGGAGGUGCAGCCUCAGUCCCUAGUCAGGGUCGACUUCUCCUUUUGGUGACACCAAGGGUUGGGGAGUACCUAGGCCAUCCCCAAGUUUUGGGCUUAGUGUGCUCCUGGGUUGGCUGGCACAACAGAGUUGAGUUCUUAGAGUGUUUUUGGAAGGACACACCCUUCAAUUAAUUACAAGUUAAGGGAAAAUAAUCCUUUCUGUGUCUCUUCAGUGUCUCUAUGUAGCAAUAAAUGACCAGUCCCAUGAUGUGGCUAUAGCUGCCAAAAAUCUGCAGUGAAUGUACAGCUGUAUCCGUCAUUAACUGUACAAUAUUGCUGAAGUGGCCCAGUGCUUUCAUGAAUUGCGUUCAAGGGUAGUGUGGCUGCCACAGAGUCUCUGGAAAGCUGGUUUCCUCGAUGCGCUGUUUCCUCUCCUGGAUACUGGUUUUUGCAUGCACAGCCUGUCUGCGGCAUCUAAUGGCUCUGCAUUUACUGCCUGUCACUCCCCACCACACUGACAUACCUGACCUUUCUCGUUGCCCUGGCUCUGGUGCUCACGUGGCUCCUACUCGGUUCUGGUUGAAAAGGAGUCUUGUCUUUGCGGGGUCGUGCUAUUUUACAGCCAGAUCCAUGGUCUUACAAACACCACAGCUGAUAGAAGGAAGCAAGUAAGUACGUGUGGCUGUUGAUGGAUGGCAACCCUUUCAGCAUUGUGUUUUAAAUCAAGACCAUGCUAUGUCCUAAUCAAUAUGGAUGCAACACCAGUGAGGUAAUGAGACUAUCACACUCCAAGGCAAUUAGCCCAACAGAAAACCCUCCACAAGUAGAUACAAGCAAGAUAAUGGAUAGGGGAAAAGAAAAAAUAAACCCUGUGUUAAAGACUUUAUAUGAAGUGCGAACUAUUAUCUAAUGAUUUAAUCAUUUUACUGAAUUUCCAAAUUAGGCACAUACUGGCAAUAACUGUAUUAGGCUACAUAACUCCUGCUUUUAAGCACUAUUUGCCCACCCCAUGCUUAGGAGAGGCUGCGUCUCCUCACAUUCAUGUCCUUGGCAAAACAGCCCCUUAGGCAGAGUGUAGAUCAACUGGCUUUUAUGCAUAUAUUCUCUAAGAAAAACUAAAGGAAUAAAAAUAUUUGUUUUGACAAGAUGCCUACUGAGAUCACAAAUGUUAAGAUCAGAGGUACGGGUGUGAUUUUAUUCUUGCUUCCUGAAUAGUAAAAUCUGUAGAACCUUCUCCACUAACUUCUUGGUUAAGUCAGUAAUUUCCCUUUCAACUACAGUCUGUAUUUUAGGAAAAUAUCUAGUCUUUAUUUUACAGGCCAUUUAGUGUCUGUGGAAGAGUUUGUGCUAGCAUUUUGAGGUCUAGUAACACAUCAGGGAAGGAUGGUAUUUCUGUACUAGUUUUUGCAGCUCUUUAGUGUACGUGUCUUUGUCACACAGAGCUUCUUCCUGGCCUGAACAGUUACCCGAGUUCUACCAGGAGGAGAAUAAACCCAUGGAUACAUUCAUACAUGUUUAGCACGGCACUGUAUCUCUGAACAUUGCGGGAACACACAAAAAUUAGUACUUUUCUCAGUAGCUAUGCCCAACGUUCCAUUUCUAAGGUGAUGUGUCAGAGAGCCUCUGCUUCCUUCCUGGUCAAAAUUGGAGCUGCUUACUCUGUGCUCGCCUGGCUCAUGUAGCUCAACCAGUUGUCUCCAAGCUCUUGCUACAGUUGCACAUGCACGUCCCACCUGAUGUACUUAGACAGUGGCCUCUGCUGUGCCCAACCAUUCCUCUGUAAAGGAACUUAAUUGCUCUUUUAUUUAGCCUGAAUGAAGGGUAGCUGUCAGGCUUGUGCCCUGUGCUUCGUCAGCCUGUGACUGAUCACAGACGUGUGUGAUGUCUUGUGCUUCCCACGUUUCGACAGCCUUUGGGUUUAUAAAAACAGUGGAAGGAGACAUGGGGUUUGGUAUGGUUGCAUAACUGGUUGUAGAAUACAUGUCUUCAUACAUGUCUUCUCAGCUGUACGGGACACCUGUUAUGCAUUCUACUAUCACAACACAUGGAACGCGUAAAACUGAUGCUGAUUUGAUUAUCAUGCCCAUUAAAUGGCUUUUGCUUUCAUUUUUCCAGCCUUCUCCCAUCCAUUAUAAGUUUCUGUGGCUUAGUACCUGGAGUAAGACCUAGGAAAGGAACAUGUAUUCUGCAAGGAUUUGGGGGACGGCUCUGAAGCUCGUAAGCCUUUGGAUGUAAACGUGCUUCUUGCAUACUUAUACUUUCCUUAUCCUAUGCAAAGAGAACUGGAAUGCAGCAUUUUCAGAUUAGGCAUCUGGGGAAACUAGUAUAGGUAUUGCUGGUACAUAGAUAGCUCCUUGGGGGAAUCUGCUGAAGGGAGAUUUUUGCCUCUGUUAUGAAUCAGAUAACUUGCCCUCUUACCUGUUCUGGAAGUUGUUCUAGUUUGUCUUUAUCGUGUCAGUCUCCCCUCUACUGUUACUUGCCUGCUCUACCUGUGGCUUGUACUUUUAUGGUUGCUCACAGCAGAGUUGGGUCCUUCUUUACAGCAGCUCCCACCAUCCUGGAGGAGUUUUACACCGGUGAAAGAGCCGCUAUUACAGGUCAUCGUUCUGGGCAAGAACAGCAGUGACUUACCAUAAGACAGGUCAUGAGAACACCUCAGUUACCUGAAAUUGCUGUGAAAAUCAGGUCAAUGCAAUGCGCUUCUCACUGCGCCUUGUUAUGGUAGAUCCAGGAACUUUGGGCAGAAGGGUGUUGGCUACGAUAGAGGGGUUUUAGAAAUACAGAGAACCACAUGGAGUUACAAAGAAAUUUCACACCCCAGGUAGGUGGAGAAUUAUCCUUGUAUCUUAUCAAUGGGAGGGAGUCUCCAGUCAGCUUCUCCGCUGCCGUGCUGGGGCAAGUGACUCAGCUCUGCAGUGGAGAAGAAUGUCCCCAUUGCUGCUUUCCUGGAAGCACCUUCACCUGGAGGUUUCUCAUUCAGGAAUUAAUUUGCUUAUGAAAACCCAUCAGUUCACAGAGCUUGGGGUGGCACAGCUGCAGGCAGAUUGCACUCACGGGGAUGAGGAUGCACAGCUGUAAGCAAGCCUAAUUAAGAGCUCUGACAAAUUUUCCAGUAUAACUCCACCAGUAAUUGUCAGGAUCUAUGAAGUAAAUAAAGGUUAAUUAUUCUCAGUCCUGAGAGUUGCUCAAGUUUGUAAUCAUCCUACCCUAUCUGGAGUUAAACACAUGAGGCAUUUUAAAGGAGGCCGCAGUUGCUAUUCACUGGUGAUUUGUUACAAAUAAAAGCUUUCAGAAAUAGCACAAGACAGGUCUGGCAGCAGUCAACUGAGCUGUGAUUUUAAGACUGGGGGAAUCAUUAGAAAAAGGAGGCAGAGCAUAGCAGAACUUGCAGCCUGGUGAUUCCCAUGAGCUUAGCUGCAACUUGAGCUACUAUCACGAGUGAGACCCUGAGUAUCUGAAUCUCCUGAACCAUACAGGUUUGUACUGAAAAAGACAUACAUAUUUCGGACAGAAUAGUUUUAUGAACGGCUUUUCUUUCCUUCCAAGACAUCAACUUUAUUGAUAGCACUGAUCCUAAGGCCUAUUUACUAUCUCUAGACGUUAUCUCUUAGCUUCUUAUUUUAUUUAAGGUUAAUUUCACUGGAGAAAUCAACCAUUGCAGGGAGUGGCUCAGUUAUGUAGAUAAUCCCUAACUCCUGUAAACAACUUUUGCCCAAUUUGGACAGCACAAACCAGUUUUAAGCCUGGUUUGAAGCAGCUAGUGUUCCUAGAAGUCCUCUGAUUGCAUAUGGCAGCAACCUGAGGAAAAAAAAGGCCCCAUCCCAACAGGUAGGAGCCCAGCUGGUGAGUAUCAUCUGGAGAAGCGGUCUGGAGUCAGCACCUGGAAGCUGCCUUUCCAUGAGGAAUGGGAAAUUGUUGAGUGUCUGAAGUAUCUGCUUUUUUUGUUGUCAGCUUUUCAAUCUCCUAAAAAAGAUAAAAAAUAUGUUGACACAUGGUGUUUGUGGGUCCCUGUGCUGGCAUUGUGAACAUCAUUCUGCAUAGGAGGGGGUGGAGGAGCAGAGUAAUUAAAGCAUCCCACUGUGCAGCCAGAUGCGUAAGUUUAUGUCUGAAUUUGUUAGCCACUCACCAGCCCAGGUGAAAGAGGUCUUUUGGGAUUAGUUAAAUUCAAGCUUAAAUCCAAGGAACCCAGGUGGUGUAUUAACCUCUUCCCUCCAGGAUGGGGUUAACUGCAGAAGUGAAACUUCUUAGCCAUAUCCACCUGAUGGACUACUUGGAUCUAGCAAACCUUUGAACUCUUUUGCCUGGAUUUGUUCAAACUCCUAUGUUGAUAUAGAAAAAUAGGUCUGAUCCCAUGUACCCUUAGGAUGCUGCUUUACUUCCUGGGGUUGGCUCUCUCACAGUAAUAAUUUCGACACGUCAACAGCUUCAGAGUGAGCCACAAACCCGAUGUGAUUUGCUCCUUGUGACUGCAAAGGCACAUUCUUCCUCCCUGGCUCUGACACAUAUACCUUGGGGAGUAUCUGAUUUAUGCAUAUGGUGAGAUAUCAGCAUGCAUUGAUUAAGCAUAUCCAAAAACAGGUUUUCAAUUGCUAUUGCAUAAGGAAAAAUUUCAGCUUGUCCUCUUGAAAUAUCCUGGCACUGUUUGGAUACAAAAAUUAUUUAUUAGGGAGACUUUAAAGCAGGAUGAAAGUAAGAAAUCUUAUGAGAAAAGUUCUGUUUGUUUCUUACAUUUUCUCCACCCUUCCCUCACCCUCAACUGUUCCAUAUGGUUAGAAGGAACAUCUUUUCCAGACCCUUUCAAUCUAAAAUACCAUCAGAUGGAGCAAAAGGAAAGCUGAACUUGCCCCAGAAGCAUUCUCAUGCUGGAAUGUUUUAGAUGCUCCAGCCCCGGAGCUUUGAGCACAGGGAAAGUCCGAGUAGCAAGAUGUCCAUGUUGUUUGUGGAGGGGUGGAUCAGAGAGUCUCUCAUGCCUUGGGCGCUGUAGGGAACUAUCUGGCAUUGCAGAAGUCAUCCUGCAAUGUGAUGAUGUGGGGACUUUGGUGGCAGUACCAGCUCACAGACUUCUUUCUUGUUCUUUGUCCCUCCCUGCCCGUUUCCAUGCCAUGGGGCACCAUAGUUGUGGCUGGAUGAACACGAUUCCCUACAAACAGCACUGAAGGCCAGAACACUUUGGGGGGCAGGGUGGGGUUGUUGUUUAAAGCCAGAGAAGCCCAACACUGAUCUGGUUCACAGCAUGACCCCACAAGUGGGUGCAUGCAGGUGUCUGCCCUCACCCACCAGUGGUGUGGUAAACAGGGCACUUGCCCAGUGUGCUGAAUAAGGUCCUCACUCUGAGCCUCUGGGUAUGUUGUGGAAGGCUCUGCUCCAGCUUCAGCUGCAUCACAUCACGACCUUUGAGACUGAAUGAAGAUGACCUCUCGCACAUUGUUUGCCCUGGAAGUUUACGGAAAACUGCAGGGCCCAUGGGCCAGACCGGGAGAGGAGUGCCUUGUCGUGAAGAGUUUUUGACCUUACCUGCAUUUGGUGCUAUCAAGACCAAGGUGCGUAUAUUAGGAUUUCUGGGAGAUAGAAUAUCAUAAAAUUUUGUGUUUCUGGGCUUCAGAGCAACUGAGGAGGCUUAGGGGAAUUUAGAUGUAGGUAACAAUUUGUUGUCUGAGCUCAAGCAAAGCUGCUCAAUGGAUGUAUACUGUGUCACCUCUUCUACUGGAAUAACACUGUCACGACACUGCAUUCAGUUGCAGGACUUUGAGGAGAGUUAAAAUUCAACAAAGAUGGAAAUAAAGUCUACUAAACAGCUCUAAAUUUCUCUUCUUGUACUGGACAAGAGACGACACAGAAACAAUUUCAGGUACUGUAAGACUAGGUGAGAUAAAACUACCUCAGGUUCUGUAACACGAAUCUAGAUUGCUAACAGUUUGCUAGAAAAGAAGUUAGGCUUUUUCUCUGUGAGUAAAAGCAAUUACCUAAAAGCUUAUUUUUCUAUGACAUCAUUAAAAAGAAAAUGAGAGAAACCUCAUGCCAACAUUUGUUAUAAUUUCAUUAGGAUCCAGGUAGAUCUAAUUUAUGUGGGGGUUCUGUUUCCCAGAUGAGGAGCAAAUUAAUCUCAUCUGACAGACAAUUGAGUUACAAAGGCUUCGCUUGAGAACUGUGCUCCAACAGAAUGUAAACAAGACUUGGAGUUUAAUAAGGUCGGACAUAAAAUAAGGAGCUAAAUUAGGCAGGGUUUAUCAGCCAACAACACAUAUAGCUAGACCUUCUCAGAGGGUGCGAGUUAGCAUGCAGUAAAGCUAAAUGUUUACAUUAACCCUAAUGUUUUGCUCUCUGACCAGUGGAACUAGGAGUUAGAGAAAAUAAGUUUAUAAACCAUAGAAGUAAUACAACUCUGCAACAAGUUGUAAAGACUUAAUUUCUCCCGAAGACUUACAGAUUUUUACAGUGUUAAACAUCACCAUAAUUAUGAAAUCUUGCAUUAAACCCCCAGGGAAAGGAACUGUAGUAUCAAUGCAACAUUUGAGACUUAAAAUUUAUGCUCUGGGAACCAACAGCAACCACACAAGCAAAAGAUUCAUGUAGCAAAAUGGUGAAAGGGCAUCCCUGCUAAAUGCCUUGUGGAAAGUGCUAAGCAAACUGGAAUAGUUCCAAAAUAUGUAGGUGGGAUUGCUCUUCACAAUGCUGGGAUUUACUCCAUUAUUGUCCAAGUGACUCAGCUGAAAUUGCCCACAAUAUACUAGACAUAUUUUGUUGUCAAUACGUUUUGCCCUGGCCUUUUCUCUCCAUGGCUACAUGACCUUAAUUCACCUAAAUUUCUGAAGUGGUGGGGUCAGGUGGUUCUGAUAACAGCACUGCACUUUCCAUAUCCAAACAUGAUGUAGAUUCAUCUGCAUAUUCAGGAGGGCAGUGUGUCAUCGCCUUGUAUCAACAUUUCCUUGGUUAAUCUACUGCCAAGAGAAAGAUACCGCCUUCCUUGCUAUUGGACUGAGCUCUUUAUCUUCUAUAUGUGACACUGCCAGCUGCUAAAUGACCUUGAAACUGAUUCCCAAACGCAGAAAA